rnacentral:rRNA from 1 species
UACGUAGGCAGCGAGCGUUGUUCGGAAUUACUGGGCGUAAAGAGUGUGUAGGCGGUGCUCUAAGUUCGGUGUGAAAUCUCCUGGCUCAACUGGGAGGGUGCGCCGGAAACUGGAGUGCUUGAGCGUGGGAGAGGAAAGCGGAAUUCCUGGUGUAGCGGUGAAAUGCGUAGAUAUCAGGAGGAACACCUGUGGCGAAAGCGGCUCACUGGACCAUUACUGACGCUGAGGCUCGAAAGCUAGGGGAGCAAACAGG